rnacentral:rRNA from 1 species
AUUGAACGCUGGCGGAAGGCCUAACACAUGCAAGUCGAGCGAGCGGCGGACGGGUGAGUAAUGUAUGGGGACUGCCCGAUAGAGGGGGAUAACUACUGGAGACGGUAACUAAUAAAGCAGACGAUAGGAUCACCCAACUGGGAUUAGCUAGUAUGUGAGGGAAUGGCUCACCUAGGCGAAGCUCCCUAGCUGGUCUUAGAGGAUGCUCAGCCACACUGGGACGGAGACACGGCCCAGACUCCUACGGAGGCAGCAGUGGGGAAUAUUGCACAAUGGGCGCAAUCCUGAUGCAGCCAUGCCGCGUGUAGGAAGAAGGCCCUAGGGUUGUAAAGUACUUUUGGCAGAGAAGCGUUAUCUGCAGAAUAAGCACCGGCUAACUACGUGCCAGCAGCCGCGGUAAUAC